rnacentral:ncRNA from 1 species
GAAAGCCGUAUUCGAUGAAAGUCGUAUAUAUGGCUUGGAGGGAGAUCUUUCAACAUCGUUCGACUUGCAUGUGUCAAGCAUAUAGCUAGCGUUCCUUCAAGCUCCCGUUUGGCCCCCGUUCUCCUUCUCAUUUUUUUCUCUAUCUUAU